rnacentral:rRNA from 2 species
AGAGUUUGAUCAUGGCUCAGAACGUACGCUGGCGGCACGCCUAACACAUGCAAGUCGAACGAAGUAGCAAUACUUAGUGGCAGACGGGUGAGUAACAUGUGGGUAUCUGCCCUUUGGCCUGGAAUAACACGAGGAAACUUGUGCUAAUACCGGAUAAGUCUUUACAGAGAAAGCUUUAUGCACCAUUGGAUGAGCCCGCACUUGAUUAGUUUGUUGGUGGGGUAAUGGCCUACCAAGACUUUGAUCAAUAGCUGAUUUGAGAGGAUGAUCAGCCACAUUGGGACUGAGACACGGCCCAAACUCCUACGGGAGGCAGCAGUGGGGAAUCUUGCACAAUGGAGGAAACUCUGAUGCAGCGAUGCCGCGUGAGUGAAGAAGGCCCUUGGGUUGUAAAGCUCUUUCGUCGGGGAAGAAAAUGACUGUACCCGAAUAAGAAGGUCCGGCUAACUUCGUGCCAGCAGCCGCGGUAAUACGAAGGGACCUAGCGUAGUUCGGAAUUACUGGGCUUAAAGAGUUCGUAGGUGGUUGAAAAAGUUGGUGGUGAAAUCCCAGAGCUUAACUCUGGAACUGCCAUCAAAACUUUUCAGCUAGAGUUUGAUAGAGGAAAGCAGAAUUUCUAGUGUAGAGGUGAAAUUCGUAGAUAUUAGAAAGAAUACCAAUUGCGAAGGCAGCUUUCUGGAUCAUUACUGACACUGAGGAACGAAAGCAUGGGUAGCGAAGAGGAUUAGAUACCCUCGUAGUCCAUGCCGUAAACGAUGUGUGUUAGACGUUGGAAAUUUAUUUUCAGUGUCGCAGCGAAAGCGAUAAACACACCGCCUGGGGAGUACGACCGCAAGGUUAAAACUCAAAUGAAUUGACGGGGACCCGCACAAGUAGUGGAGCAUGUGGUUUAAUUCGAAGAUACGCGCAGAACCUUACCAACACUUGACAUGUUCGUCGCAACUUUAAGAGAUUAAAGUUUUCGGUUCGGCCGGACGAAACACAGGUGCUGCAUGGCUGUCGUCAGCUCGUGUCGUGAGAUGUUGGGUUAAGUCCCGCAACGAGCGCAACCCUCACUUUUAGUUGCCAUCAUUAAGUUGGGCACUCUGAAAGAACUGCCAGUGAUAAGCUGGAGGAAGGUGGGGAUGACGUCAAGUCCUCAUGGCCCUUACGUGUUGGGCUACACACGUGCUACAAUGGUAUCUACAACAGGAAGCAAAACAGCGAUGUUAAGCAAAUCCUUAAAAGAUACCUCAGUUCGGAUUGCACUCUGCAACUCGAGUGCAUGAAGCUGGAAUUACUAGUAAUCGUGGAUCAGCGUGCCACGGUGAAUGCGUUCCCGG